AAUGGUGUAUAACUCUUCGAAGAGUGGGACUUUUCUUUUUAGCUUUCAGAUGCUAAGGUAACCCAUGUAUGUCCUAAUUUUUCUUCUUGGUUUGUUCUAUUAAAAAGCAGCAUGUUUUUGGUAAAUAGAACAUAUAAUACCUAAGUCUACAACUGCUUUUAUAAGCUCCUCAACUUUUACUUCCUCUGUUUUUGCAUAGGUCUCUAAAUGACAUGCCAUGGUUAGUUGAACCUAGAAAAAUCUUGGUCAGUUAGAUUAAGCAUGACACUGAUAGAACUAGAUGAAAUUGAUGUUUACAGGAGGUUCAACAUUGGCUGAUCUUCAACAGGCUCUUAAAGUUACUUGCCACUUCUGUUGGGAUUAAUAAAAAAUGGAGUCCCAGAAUGUAGGCCAUCAAAAGGCACUGUGCAAAGCUUGAACGUGUAGGAUCUACGCAGUUGGCUAGUUUGCUUAUAUUUGCAGGGCUAAUGAUCAUGCUCUUUGUCAAGCUUUAAUAACUUGAAAAUUCACAUAAAACUGAUUGUUCAUUGCAUAUGCAUAUUAUCAGUUGAUGGUUGACAUACAAUUGUUAUUUGGAAUACAUGGUAUUUCAAUGAAUUGGGGGUGAAGCAAAGGCCUUUUUUGUUGUAGUGACAGAUCACACUGUCCACUAAAGUUGCUCUUCACAACGAUAUAUACUGAAUUGUCGCUUCUUACUGUUUUUAUAGGGAAUAUGCCCCUUCAAUCAUCUUCAUGGAUGAGAUCGACAGUAUUGGAUCUGCUCAUAUGGAAUCGGGGACUGGCUAUGGUGAUAGUGAAGUUCAGCGUUUUGAUGGCUACCAACUGUAUAAAUAUUCUGGAUCAAGCCCUCCUCAGGCCUGACUAGAUUGAUUGGAAGAUUUAAUUCCCAAAUCCCAACGAAGAGUCCUGCUUCAAUAUCUUGAAAAUAAACUCGAGGAAGAUGGACUUGAUGCGUGGGAUUGAUCUGAAGAAGAUCACAGAGAAGAUGAAUGGUGCAUCUGGUGCAGAACUUAAUCAGAUGGGCCACACACUUAAAUCAAUUGGCAUCUUAUGAUCAGAGCAAAGGUACAAUUGAGGC